UGCUUGGUCUCAAGAUUAAGCCAUGCAUGUCUAAGUUACAAACGAAUUAAAAGUGAAACCGCAAAAGGCUCAUUAUAUCAGUUAUGGUUCCUUAGAUUGUUAACAGUUACUUGGAUAACUGUGGUAAUUCUAGAGCUAAUACAUGCAAUAUAAACACGGACCUUUGGAACGUGUGCUUUUAUUAGACUAAAACCAAGCGAUUAUCAAUGAUGAUCGUUAACUGGUUGAACUCUAGAUAACUUGCAGAUCGUAUGGUCUUGUACCGACGACAGAUCUUUCAAAUGUCUGCCCUAUCAACUAUUGAUGGUAGUAUAUAGGACUACCAUGGUUGCAACGGGUAACGGGGAAUCAGGGUUCGAUUCCGGAGAGGGAGCCUGAGAAACGGCUACCACAUCUAAGGAAGGCAGCAGGCGCGUAAAUUACCCACUCCCAGUUCGGGGAGGUAGUGACGAAAAAUAACAAUACAGGACUCGUAUCCGAGGCCCUGUAAUUGGAAUGAGUACACUUUAAAUCCUUUAACAAGGACCUAUUGGAGGGCAAGUCUGGUGCCAGCAGCCGCGGUAAUUCCAGCUCCAAUAGCGUAUAUUAAAGUUGUUGCGGUUAAAACGUUCGUAGUUGAAUUUGUGCUUCAUACGGGUAGUACACCUAUAAUUAUGGUUCGUACAUUACCUAUUGUAUGCGAGCGUAUUACCGGUGGAAUUUCGUAAUAUAUAAUUUUUAAUUGAUGCUUCGUGUAUCUUUUAAUUUUAUAUAUUUGAAUUCCUAUUAAAAAAACCUGCUUCAGUGCUCUUUACCGAGUGUUGUUGUGGGCCGGUACAAUUACUUUGAACAAAUUAGAGUGCUUAAAGCAGGCUUCAAAUGCCUGAAUAUUUUGUGCAUGGAAUAAUGGAAUAAGACCUCUGUUCUAAUUUCCAUUGGUUUAUAGAACAAGAGGUAAUGAUUAAUAGAAGCAGUUGGGGGCAUUAGUAUUACGACGCGAGAGGUGAAAUUCUUGGACCGUCGUAAGACUAACUUAAGCGAAAGCAUUUGCCAAAGAUGUUUUCAUUAAUCAAGAACGAAAGUUAGAGGUUCGAAGGCGAUCAGAUACCGCCCUAGUUCUAACCAUAAACGAUGCCAGCUAGCAAUUGAGUGUAGCUACUACUAUGGCUUUCUCAGUCGCUUCCCGGGAAACCAAAGCUUUUGGGCUCCGGGGGAAGUAUGGUUGCAAAGCUGAAACUUAAAGGAAUUGACGGAAGGGCACCACCAGGAGUGGAGCCUGCGGCUUAAUUUGACUCAACACGGGAAAACUUACCAGGUCCGAACAUAAAUGAGUAAGACAGAUUGAUAGCUCUUUCUCGAAUCUAUGGGUGGUGGUGCAUGGCCGUUCUUAGUUCGUGGAGUGAUUUGUCUGGUUAAUUCCGCUAACGAACGAGACUCAAAUAUAUUAAAUAGAUGCUUUCAGGAUUAUGAUGCUGAAGCUUAUAUAGCCUUUAUUCGUUGAAUUUCAGUAAAAUGUUAUAAGAUGUUUAAAUGUGUUUAUAUAAGUGGAGUCGUACCUGUUGGUUUGUCCCAUAAUACGGACACUAGCUUCUUAAAUGGACAAAUUGCGUCUAGCAAUAAUGAGAUUGAGCAAUAACAGGUCUGAAUGCCCUUAGAUGUCCUGGGCUGCACGCGCGCUACAAUGAAAGUAUCAACGUGUAUUUCCUAGACCGAGAGGUCCGGGUAAACCGCUGAACCACUUUCAUGCUUGGGAUUGUGAACUGAAACUGUUCACAUGAACCUGGAAUUCCUAGUAAGUGCGAGUCAUUAACUCGCAUUGAUUACGUCCCUGCCCUUUGUACACACCGCCCGUCGCUACUACCGAUUGAAUUAUUUAGUGAGGUCUCCGGACGUGAUCACUGUGACGCCAAGUGUGUUACGGUUGUUUCGCAUAAGUUGACCGAACUUGAUUAUUUAGAGGAAGUAAAAGUCGUAACAAGGUUUCCGUAGGUG
rnacentral:rRNA from 1 species